UUGAUCAUAUGAUGUUGCAGGCUAAGGCUGCCACUGUUGGCAAACAGAAACCCAGCUAAAUAAGUGAGUGAUCCAUACAAGUGAUCCAAACCGACCAAAGGGAAAAUAUUAGUGUCUCCAGGGUGUAAAAACAGCUUUGAAUGGGAUAAAAAUAUUCCAGCACGUUUACUAAAGCUGCACUGAAAUGGUAAGGUUAUUUUAUACCAUCGUAUCUAUUGUACUGGUUUAAGUGUACCUUUAAGUGUUGAAUUCUAGUUGAAUCAGUAACUAGAAAAUCAAGAGAUGAAAAAGAUUGAGUGGUUUAUUCGAACUUCCGUUCCUUUUGAGCAAAGCGUCAUGGUAAAUAGAGGCUCUUGUUCUUUGGCCAGCGGAGUUCCGUGAGAAAAUUGACACACAAGGUGGUGAUAAACAUUGUGAAGCAAUGCAUUUCAAAUAAUUCAAAUUGACAUUUCGUAGGUUGCAACAUACAUUUUCAAAAGUAUCAGUUAAUUUUUUGAAAAAAUAUUUAAAUACAACAAAAAUAGUGAAAGAUCUAGAUGUGACUUAAUAUAGCAGUGACAUAUUGGGGGAGCAGCAUGGACGUCAUCAAUGAUGUCACUUAUUGUCAAUACAAUCGUCUCUUUAAUUUAUCUAAAAUUAACGAGAAAUAGAAGAAGCACCGU